rnacentral:rRNA from 1 species
UACGAAGGGUGCAAACGUUGCUCGGAAUUAUUGGGCGUAAAGAGCUCGUAGGCGGUUUGUCGCGUCGAAUGUGAAAACCCGGGGCUCAACCCCGGGCCUGCAUUCGAUACGGGCAGACUAGAGUUCGGUAGGGGAGUCUGGAAUUCCUGGUGUAGCGGUGAAAUGCGCAGAUAUCAGGAGGAACACCGGUGGCGAAGGCGGGACUCUGGGCCGAUACUGACGCUGAGGAGCGAAAGCGUGGGGAGCAAACAGG